AGAGUUUGAUCCUGGCUCAGAACAAACGCUGGCGGUGUGCCUAACACAUGCAAGUCGUACGUGAAAAUUCGCUUCGGCGGAUGAGUAGAGUGGCGCACGGGUGAGUAACGCGUGGAUAAUCUGCCCUUUAGUCUGGAAUAACUCAUCGAAAGGUGGGCUAAUACCGGAUGAUGCUGUUCUUACUUCGGUGGAACAGCCAAAGAUGGCCUCUAUUUAUAAGCUUUCGCUAAAGGAUGAGUCCGCGUACCAUUAGCUAGUUGGCAGGGUAAUGGCCUACCAAGGCGACGAUGGUUAGCUGGUCUGAGAGGAUGACCAGCCACACUGGAACUGAGACACGGUCCAGACUCCUACGGGAGGCAGCAGUGAGGAAUCUUGCGCAAUGGGGGAAACCCUGACGCAGCAACGCCGCGUGAGUGAGGAAGGUCUUCGGAUCGUAAAGCUCUGUCGGGUGGAAAGGAAGGUAUGGUGGUUAAUACCCUUCAUACUUGACGGUACCACCAGAGGAAGCACCGGCUAACUCCGUGCCAGCAGCCGCGGUAAUACGGGGGGUGCAAGCGUUGUUCGGAAUUAUUGGGCGUAAAGCGCGUGUAGGCGGUUUUUUAAGUCUGAUGUGAAAGCCCUGGGCUCAACCCGGGAAGUGCAUUGGAUACUGGAAGACUUGAAUACGGGAGAGGGCAGUGGAAUUCCUAGUGUAGGAGUGAAAUCCGUAGAUAUUAGGAGGAACACCGGUGGCGAAGGCGGCUGCCUGGACCGAUAUUGACGCUGAGACGCGAAAGCGUGGGUAGCAAACAGGAUUAGAUACCCUGGUAGUCC
rnacentral:rRNA from 1 species